CUUAUACUCCCUCCGUCCCAAAAUUCUUGUUUUUGUUUUGUCUAGAUAUAAAUGUAUCUAGUCAUGUGUUAGUAUUUAGAUACAUCCAUUUUUAUACAAGCGUAAGACAAGAAUUUUAGGACGGAGGGAGUAUUUA
rnacentral:pre_miRNA from 1 species